rnacentral:rRNA from 1 species
AACGAACGCUGGCGGCGUGGAUAAGACAUGCAAGUCGAACGGGAUAACAUCUGUAGCAAUACAGGUGUUAUUUAGUGGCGAACGGGUGCGUAACACGUGGGCAAUCUGCCGAGAAGUGGGGGAUAGCUCGCCGAAAGGCGAAUUAAUACCGCAUAUGAUCAGUGAAGACAUCUUCACGACAUCAAAGCCGGGGCAACCUGGCGCUUCUUGAUGAGCCCGCGGCCUAUCAGCUAGUUGGUGAGGUAACGGCUCACCAAGGCUAUGACGGGUAGCUGGUCUGAGAGGACGACCAGUCACACUGGAACUGAGACACGGUCCAGACACCUACGGGUGGCAGCAGUCGAGAAUUUUUCUCAAUGGGGCAACCCUGAAGGAGCGACGCCGCGUGGAGGAUGAAGGCGUUUC